UACGUAGGUGGCAAGCGUUUGUCCGGAUUUACUGGGCGUAAAGAGCGCGCAGGCGGUCGUUCAAGUCGCGUGUGAAAGCCCCCGGCUCAACUGGGGAGGGUCACGCGAUACUGAUCGACUCGAAGGCAGGAGAGGGUAGUGGAAUUCCCGGUGUAGUGGUGAAAUGCGUAGAUAAUCGGGAGGAACACCAGUGGCGAAGGGCGACUACCUGGCCUGUUCUUGACGCUGAGGCGCGAAAGCUAGGGGAGCAAACGGGG
rnacentral:rRNA from 1 species